rnacentral:rRNA from 1 species
UACGUAGGGUGCGAGCGUUGUCCGGAAUUAUUGGGCGUAAAGAGCUCGUAGGUGGCGGGUCACGUCGGGGUGUGAAAGCCCCGGGGCUUAACUCCGGGUCUGCAUUCGAUACGGGGUCUGCUGGGGUCCGGCAGGGGAGACUGGAAUUCCUAGUGUAGCGGUGAAAUGCGCAGAUAUCAGGAGGAACACCGGUGGCGAAGGCGGGGUCUCUGGGCCGGUACCGACGCUGAGGGAGCGAAAAGCGUGGGGGGAGCGAAACAGGGA